CACUCCUGCGGGAGGCAGCAGUGGGGAAUUUUGGACAAUGGGGGCAACCCUGAUCCAGCAAUGCCGCGUGAGUGAAGAAGGCCUUCGGGUUGUAAAGCUCUUUUGUCAGGGAAGAAACGGUGGUGGCGAAUAACUACUACUAAUGACGGUACCUGAAGAAUAAGCACCGGCUAACUACGUGCCAGCAGCCGCGGUAAUACGUAGGGUGCAAGCGUUAAUCGGAAUUACUGGGCGUAAAGCGUGCGCAGGCGGUUGUGUAAGUCAGAUGUGAAAUCCCCGGGCUCAACCUGGGAAUUGCAUUUGAGACUGCACGGCUAGAGUGUGUCAGAGGGGGGUAGAAUUCCACGUGUAGCAGUGAAAUGCGUAGAUAUGUGGAGGAAUACCGAUGGCGAAGGCAGCCCCCUGGGAUAACACUGACGCUCAUGCACGAAAGCGUGGGGAGCAAACAGGAUUAGAAACCCGUGUAGUCCCAUG
rnacentral:rRNA from 1 species